rnacentral:rRNA from 1 species
GUUGACGACCGGCGCACGGGUGAGUAACGCGUAUCCAACCUGCCUAUAACUAGGGAAUAACCUUGCGAAAGUAAGACUAAUACCCUAUGAUUUCCUUUGAUGACAUCAGAUUAGGAAUAAAGAUUUAUCGGUUAUAGAUGGGGAUGCGUAUGAUUAGCUUGUUGGCGGGGUAACGGCCCACCAAGGCAACGAUCAGUAGGGGUUCUGAGAGGAAGGUCCCCCACAUUGGAACUGAGACACGGUCCAAACUCCUACGGGAGGCAGCAGUGAGGAAUAUUGGUCAAUGGGCGGAAGCCUGAACCAGCCAAGUAGCGUGCAGGAUGACGGCCCUAUGGGUUGUAAACUGCUUUUAUACAGGAAUAAAGUUAGCCACGUGUGGUUAUUUGUAGGUACUGUAUGAAUAAGGACCGGCUAAUUCCGUGCCAGCAGCCGCGGUAAUACGGAAGGUCCAGGCGUUAUCCGGAYUUAUUGGGUUUAAAGGGAGCGUAGGCCGUCUGUUAAGCGUGUUGUGAAAUGUAGAUGCUCAACAUCUGAAUUGCAGCGCGAACUGGCAGACUUGAGUGUGCGCAACGUAGGCGGAAUUCGUGGUGUAGCGGUGAAAUGCUUAGAUAUCACGAAGAACUCCGAUU